rnacentral:rRNA from 1 species
AUGAAUGGUGAAAGGAAAGUACAUUGGAUUUCUUGGGACAAGAUGUGUACUGCUAAGAGGGAUGGAGGUUUGGGUUUUCGAGACCCAAAAGCUUUCAAUCAAGCGCUUCUAGCAAAGCAGGCUUGGAGAAUCUUAACUAGUACAACCUCUCUUUUCUCUAGAGUGCUCAAAGCUCGUUAUUUCAAGGAUGACUCAAUUAUGUUGGCUACUUGCCCUUCAAAUGUGUCUUUCACUUUUAGAAGUAUUUUACAUGGUCCAGAUCUUCUACGAGAAGGGUUAGUCUGGAGGAUUGGAGAUGGUUCCCGUGUCAACAUUCAUCAUGAUAAUUGGAUACCUAGAAGUGGUUCUCUUCGGCCACUGGGCCAGGAGUUCUUACUCGGUGUAACAAAGGUAGCAGAUCUGCUAACUCUUGAAGGAAAUGCAUGGGACUGGGAGAAGGUUGAUAAUAUGUUUACGGCCUCUGAUGCGUCUGACAUUAACCAAAUUGUUGUUGGUGGAUGGGGAACUGAAGAUUUUUUGGCAUGGAAUUACACCAAAAAUGGGAUUUUUACUGCCAGCUCAGCAUAUCAUCUUUGA